CUCUCUUUGCCUGCUGCCAUCCACGUGACUUUCUCCUCCGUGCCUUCUGUCAUGAUUGUGAGGUCUCCCCAGCCACAUGGAACUGUAAGUCCACUAAACCUCUUCUUUUGUAAAUUGCCCAGUCUCAGGUAUGUCUUUAUCAGCAGCGUGAAAACAGACUCAUACAACUAACAAGCCUGCUUUAGCUUUUCACUGUUCUGCCCAAGCAACUUUCCCCUUCAGCCAGGCCAGUAGAUUUCUCAUACAGCAGGGUGACCCUGUUCAGGGCCUUUGUACUGUUUAUAUUUUUUACUUUGUGCAUACUAUGAUGUCUUGACGUUUUGGAAACCUCUCUGGCUGGGGAGAGACUGUCCUUCCCAGAGCUGGCCAGUUCUUAGAACCAGAAGGGCCCAGCCAGGAGCACAGCUCUGAUAUGCAAACCAACCAACCCAGAGCUAUGCCGUCUUUAUCUAGCCUGUCCACCCCAGGAAGCAGUAUUUCUUCACCUAUAUCAUGCCAGAGCCUGAUAACAAGCAACUAGAAACCAUGCCUGUAGCUUACAGCCUGCCAAAAUUAUUCAAACUAGCCAAUUCUAAACUGUUCACAUGCACUCCCCUGCCCUGUCCCUGAAAGCUCAAGAAAGACCAUGGCCCAGGCUCUCCCCUCACUCCUGCCCCUUCAGGCUCCUACAGGGGGGACCAAGACUGAUGCUUCCCCAUGUGGCCCUGCAGGGCAUGACAUGCUUCCCGUCUCUAAGACCUGUGAGUAUAAUAACCUUGGCCUUCCUGAGCACCUCCUCUGCCUCCUCCUGUGGCCACAUCUCACUGACCAUCACAAAAAACAACAUAGAAUAAGCCAGGCAUGGUGGCUUAUGCCUGUAAUCCCAGCACUUUGGGAGGCCGAGGCAGGCGGAUCACUUGACGUCAGGAGUUCGAGACCAGCCUGGCCAACAUGGUACAACCCUGUCUCUACUAAAAACACAAAAAUUAGCCAGGUGUGGUGGUGGGUGCCUGUAAUCCCAGCUACUCAGGAGGCUGAAGCAGGAUAAUCACUUGAACCCGGGAGGCAGAGGUUGCAGUGAGCCGAGAUUGUGCCACUGCACUCCAGCCUGGGCAACAGAGCAAGACUCCGUCUCAAAAAAUAAAAUAAAACAGGUUUUCAUUUUAAUUUUUAACAUAUAAACCUCCACAGGAACAUUCUGACACAGACUUCAGCCCCAGGCCUACAUCACCCUAUGAUCCAAAUUAUUUUAUAGUAAAUGGUAUGAAGUUUGGAGAGGAAGGGCAAUUUGGCCAUCAUGCUGUGAUUUUACUGCAGGUAAAGUAGAAUCACCAUGAAAGUGGUGGAGCCUUGCUUUUUCUUUAAUUUUUAUAAUGCCACCACCCUACAUUCUUAGGAGAAAAGGCAAGGAGUUAAAUAAAUAAGCACAGAUUUAAGUUCACAUUUCUGGUAAUUAUCCGCAAGCUAAUAACUGAGAUUGCUUAAGCUCUGUAAACAAAACACACAAAGCCCUUGUGGCUCUGCGCCAGAAUCAAAGGUCUGAUCCAAAACUCCCCCAUCCCCUUGUUGGCUUUGAACAUGAAACCAAUUUUCUACACCAAAUCAGGCCUACUUCUUUGUAACCAUCCUUACCAUCUCUCUUAUAGGAAAAUGUUUAGGACUCUUGGCGGUGACUCUAGAACUAGGAAAUCAACUCUCUCAGCAGCACUCUAAUGAGCAAAAACAACUGUGCCUCAAAAUACAGGCUGCAGUGGGCAGAAAUCUCUGUACUGCACUCCAGCCUGGGUGACAGAGUAAGUUUCUGUCUCAAAAAAAAAAAAAAAUCAAGUAACAAAGAACAGCUGUCUAAAACUGUUAACACUGAUUCAAAAUAUAAUAACCUUUAUGCCUGUUAUUCAGAGUUAAAGUGGGUACGCUAAUUAUAAAUCAUACACUUUUCUAAUUGUGCAAUACUCUGUCAAUGGGAUAGAUUUUAGGAAAAUUCCAGCUGAACCAGUCCAUUCUUUGAAUCAUUAGGUCAAUUACAAACAUGCCAAUCCUUAGCCUGAAUAGCUGCAUAUUUAGAAAGACCUAAAACAUUCUUCAAAAAGCUGCCAUACAUGGUCUGUUAAAGGGCUUACUUGGUAGGAAAUAAAUCAAGAGGGAAUACUCCAUAGUGAAUCUCAGGGCACUUUUUAAAACAAAUCUCAGGGCUGAGCACAAUGGUUCAUGCCUAUAAUCUCACUGCUUUGAGGGGCCAAGGCAGGAGGAUUGCUCAAGCCCAGGAGUUUGAGACCAGCCUGGGCAACAUGGCAAGACCUAGUCCCUACAAAAAAAUUGUUUUAUUAGCUAGGCAUGGUGGAACACGCCUGUGGUCCCAGCUAUUCCAGAGGCUGAAGUGGGAGGAUCACUUAAGCCCAGGAAGUCAAGGCUGCAGUGAGCCAUGAUCUCACCACUGCACUCGAGCCUGGGAGACAGUACAGGACCCAUCUCCAAAAAAAAAAAAAAAAAAAGUGAACGAAGCUGCAAUAAGCUGUGAUCAUACCACUGCACACUAGCCUAGGCGACAGAGUGAGACCCUGCCUCAAAAAAAAAAAAAGAAAAAAAGAAAAAACCAAUUGAUAAAAGAGUAACCUCCCAAUCCCCAGCUGUGGAACCCAAGAGCAGAGAAGGCAGCCACCCGCCUCUCUUUCCCUCAAAGACACCAGAGUGCAAUAGGCUCUUCCUCACUCAUUCCCAUGGGAAGUAGCCUUCAACCCCUCUCAAACCACAGCAUAUAGAGAUGCCUUUAUUAAUAAAAAAGGAUACAACCCACGGGCCAGCCGCAGUGGCUCACGCCUGUAAUCCCAACACUUUGGGAAGCCAAGGCAGGCAGAUCACCUGAGGCCAGGAGUCCGAGACCAGCCUGGCCAACAUGGUGAAACUCUGUCUCUACUAAAAGCACAAACAUUAACCGAGUGUGGUGGCACACGCCUGUAGUCCCAGCUACUUAGGAGGCUGAGGCAGGAGAAUCGCUUGAAUCCGGGAGGCAAAAGUUGGAGUUAGCCGAAGUCGCACCACUGCACUCCAGACUGGGCGACAGAGCGAGACUCAGUCUCAAAAAUAAAUAAAUACAAUAAAUAAAUAAACAAAGUAUACAACCCACAACUCACUUUUUUUUCUAACCAGGAAUCUCAACAACAGGACUAUAGGGAAACAAGAAUUAUUAACCUCAUUAAUUCAAAUUAACUCUUAAGCACCCACCACUAACAGGCACUCUUAUAGGUUCUAGACCUAGGAUCAUUUUUACAGAGUUCACAUUGGGGAAGGGAGAGGGGAGAGGGAAAGGCAAUCACACUAAAAAGAGGGGGUCAGAGUAACAGUAAGAUCCACACAGAAGGCCAGGCACAGUGGCUCACACCUAUAAUCCAAGCACUUUGGGAGGCCAAGGAGGGUGGAUCACCUGAGUUCAGGAGUUCGAGACCAGCCUGGCCAACAUGGUGAAACCUUGUCUCUACCAAAAAUACAAAAAUUAGCCGGGCAUGGUGGCGGGCGCCUGUAAUCUCAGUUAUUUGGGAGCCUGAGGCAGGAGGAUCGCCUGAACCCAGGAGGUGGAGGUUGCAGUGAGCUGGGACCAUGCCAUUGCACUCCAGCCUAGGCAACAAGAGUGAGACUUCUCAAAAAAAAAAAAAAAAUCCACAAAGAAAGUAGGGAGCCAUGGUAGUGAAUGGGGGCGUUUACUCUAGAUGGGUGGUCAAGGCAGAGUUUCCCAGGAGGACAAAGCCCCCAGUGACAAGAGCAGGGUCAACAAGUUCCAAGCAAAGAGAACAGCAAGUGCUGAAGCCUAAGGCUAAUGCACUUACAGAAAAAUCCUUAAUGACUAAGUGUGUUGCCUCUGUUUGCGCAGAGAUCACAAAACGUGUCCCGCAGAAGGGAGAGAAAAAGGGACCCCAGGAGAGGGUGGCGGGGCUUCAGGUCCUGGAGAAAGGCAGCAAGCAUGGCUAACACAUUCCUUGGUCCACCCUGCAGGGUAAUACUGCACCUUCAAUUGACUUAUGAAGAAACUAGCUCAGAUUGGAACAACAGCCAGGACAGUCACCACCAAGGGGACUUGCCCCACUGGAGAAGGCAAGUCUGACCCCCUACCCCACCGCGGUCAACCCAGGGACGGAGGAGAGAACGCCGCAUGCCAUUGUUCUUAUGUAUAAAGCACAGGUUACAGGUUAUUUCUGAAGAUGUCUGCUCAAGUGGAGAUGCUACCAGAGACCGGAGUGGGAGAGAAACUGUUACAGCCAAUCACUUCCUUCCAGGAAAAAAAAAGACGCAAAUAACAACACAAAAAAACGUGAUCUAAUAGACAAUCCAGAUAUAAAGAACACAAACCCUUUUCCCUACAAUUUAACCAAAUGCUAAAAUGCACCAGGAAACACAGGAUACUACAGAGAUAAAGAUUUGGCCAGCAGAUUAUCAACCCCAGGAAAAGAAAUCCAUUUCUGUAGCAUGCUAUGCUGUUGGAGGCACACGUCACACUUCUUAAUUCAAGGACAGAAAAGCACAAACUAAAAUGCACACUGGAGUAUGACUCCCCCUUCUCUAUCUGCUAAAGCGCUUCGCAUGUGACUUUCAAUCUCUAAGCUGGGAAUCAAUCAGGCAGCCCAGCCUCCUAUAUUUUCUAGUUGUAUUGCUUUGAGCAUCAAAUUUAACCUCUGUGCACCUCAAUUUCUUCAGCUGGAGACAAAGAAAGUGGCUGCACUGUGGCAGAGUGUUUGCAAAUGUUAAUCAUGGUUAUGGUAGCAUUCUACCUUGUCUUACAGAUGGUUGCCUAAAAAGGUAGGAAACUGUUCACGAAAAAGUCUCAACCGGUCCUAGAGUGAUCAGAAUGACAGCGCUGAAAUAAGGAGGGCAGUACCUCUUAUUCCAGAGAAGUGGGGAGCAGAGAGGAAGAUGGAGUGGAAAGGGGCGAGGCAAGGCCCUCCUGAAAUACCUCAACCCAAAUCUUCAAGAAAUCCCCAAGUCCUCACAGUGCUUUUUGUGGAUUUUUGUGGAAACCGGUAAAAGGGGCUGAUUUGCUGACCCCAGUGGGUAGAAAACAGAGACUGUCAAGAGAACAGAAGAGAAGGCAGAAAGGGGAUGGGGAAGUGGGGUUCGCCAUGUUCACGAGCUCCUGGAGCCACAGGGCCCCCCAGGAACAACAGAGCUGAGACUGGGUGGCCUUGUUUCUGGCCCAAUUCCCUGGGACCACCACCCUGGAAGGACACUUGAGCCCUACUCAAGGACCCACCACAACAUCUCAGCAUUGUCGGUCCUUAAAUGCCAAGGUUUGUGCUCACCAUUUCCAUCCUUAAGAUUCUCACAGGGAAGAACCCACACAACAGCUUUGUCCCUGCGACUCUGGGUGAGUUUCUGACACUGGCCUGGGCUCCCGUUUUGCCCGUCACCAACUUCUCACAGUAUAACUAUCCAAGAGAAGUAGCAUUUGAUGUCAGGGAAUCAAAAGGGCUAAGGCUCGGGAGGCCAAGGCAGGUGAAUCACUUGUAAUCAGGAGUUCGAGACCACCCUGACCAACAUAGUGAAACCCCAUCUCUACUAACAAUACAAAAAAUUAACCAGGUGUGGUGGCAGGUGCCUGUAAUCCCAGCUACUCAGGAGGCUGAGGUAGGAGGAUCACUUGAACCCAGGAGGCAGAGGUUGUGGUACGCCAAGAUCAUGACACUGCACUCCAGCCUGGGUGACAGAGUGAGACUCCAUCUCAAAAAAAAAAAAAAAAAAGGCCUAAGGCUUACUCAGGGUCAUCUAUGGUUUGCCAAGCAGAGUUCAAUCCAAUCAACAAAACCCUCACUGCCCACUUUUCCAAAACCUGAUAUAGUCAGUCACUAGUAGCUGCCAUUUGCUGUUUUGCCUUCUAUUAAAAAAAAAAAAAAAAAAAAAACCAUCCAAUUCCCAGAAGUCAAAGGCAAUUCCUUCCCUUUUCUGUGUCUGUGAGACGGCUCUCUGUGGGAUUCCUUCCUGCUGCACCUCAUCCUUCCUGGAAGGGACUCUCAGAAAAUGUGCCUCCUCCUUACAGGAAAGGAAUUCCUCCCGAGGAACUGUGGACAUGAGGCAGCUUUGUGGAAUUUCCCUUCCACAGACUUCAGCCUAUUUUCUGGGCAAACUUAGCAGAAAUGACCAAAAUCCACUCGAGAGAGACAGCAACAAGGAGAGGGGAAGAGAUCCUAUUUUGGCUUCUUCAAAUGGACCAAUUUUCUCUUUAAAAUAUUUAUUUUAAGGAAAAACAAGGACUACAUUAUAUUUUAAAGGGGGAGAAGGAAGAGGAUUUUGAGUUGCUAAGAGAACAGAGCCAUCUCUUUUCUUUUAAUACUGGAUGCUAAGAACUUGCACAGGGUUUUCCCAAAAGCCAGAUAGUUCAGGUAAUUUGCAUGUGGCUGUAAAAGAGAAAGUUCAGGCCAGGCACUGUGGCAACAUGGUGAAACCCCAUCUCUACUAAAAAUACAAAAAUUAGCUGGGUGUGGUGGUGCAAGCCUGUAAUCCCAGCUACUUGGGAGGCUGAGGCAGGGGAAUCACUUGAAUCUGGGAGGUGGACGUUGCAGUGAGCCAAGAUCACACCACUGCACUCCUGGGCGACAGAGACUCUCUCAAAAAAAAAAAAAAAAAAAAAAAAAGAGAGAGAGAAAGUUGAGAGCAUAAGUCUGAGUGAUUCUGCCUGAAAGAACAGAACAGCUUACACUGGACAGGCUUUUGCCCAAGACACACCUCAUCUGGCAUUGAGAAACGAACACCAACAAUAAUGAGUGACAGAAUGUUAAGAACAAUAAUUAUACAGACUUGGACCUCCCAGACUGCUUGUCUGUAGUAAUUCAGAAGGAAGCAAAGUAUUCUGAAGUGUUUAUGAAGAUUGGUUCCACAUCUGAAGAAUUUUAGUAAUCUUACCCAAACUCAACCCAAGAAAUAUGAGGAAAAGAGGGAGUAGUUCUAUAAUAAGCAGGUGGAAUAGAGGGUCAAACUCCUUGGCGAGUUCAGUCUAACAGAGGACACAUUACUGCCCUACAAAGCAGCUCUGGAAAAUGACAACCAGUGGCACUAACUCCAGGCAAUAUCUUUGUGAGGCUUGUGGGCUGUAAUAUAGUCUGCUCAGGCUGCCAUAAAAAAAAAAUCACAAUCAGGCCAGGCACUAUGGCUCACACCUGUAAUCCCAGCACUUUGGGAGGCCAAGGAGGGCAGAUCACCUGAGGUUAGGAGUUCGAGACCAGGCUGGCCAACAUGGCAAAACCCCGUCUCUACUAAAAAUACAAAAAUUACCCGGAUGUGGUAGCACGCACCGGUAGUCCCAGCUACUCGUCAGGCUGAGGCAGGAGAAUUGCUUGAACCUGGGAGGGGUGGAGGUUGCAGUGGGCUGAGAUCACACCACUGUACUCCAGCCUGGACAACAGAGCCACUGCACUCCAGCCUGGGCAACAGAGAGAGACUCCAUCUUAAAAAAAAAAAAAAAAAAUCCCCGUCUUCAAAUACAAUCACAUUCUGAAGUACUAGAGAUCAGGACUCCAACAUGCGAACUUUGGGGGGACAUAAUUCAGCCCGUAAUAUGGGUGAUAAAGGAGCAGGUCCAGACUUAGAGAAACAAGGACUCCCUGGGUCAAGCUCUGGAAGUGAAAGGCUUCUUCAAAGACAGGAAAGUCCCACUGAAGGUGGCUUUGGAAGUGCACCCUUGCAGCACAGCAACCUUCUUGAUUUGCUCAAGAGCAGGGGUUCUGACAGGUCUCAAAGCACUUUGUUUAAUGAAACAGAAUCGAAAAUACCAGUGUGUCACAUGUUUCCUAAGACAGGACACUGUUUCUUGAAACUUUUACUAAAGUAUGUUUUUCUUUUAUUUUUUUAUUUUUUAUUUUUUUUGAGAAGGAGUCUUGCUCUGUCGCCCAGGCUGGAGUGCAGUGGCACAAUCUCGACUCACUGCAACCUCUGCCUCCCGGGUUCAAACAAUUCUCCUGCCUCAGCCUCCUGAGUAGCUGGGAUUACAGGUGCACGCCAUCAUGCCUGGCUAAUUUUUGUAUUUUUAGUAGAGACAGGGUUUCACCAUGUUGACCAGUCUGCUCUCAAACUCCUGACCUUGUGAUCUGCCCACCUUGGCCUCCCAAAGUGCUGGGAUUACAGGUGUGAGCCACCGUGUCCAGCCUAAAGUAUGUUAAAUAUGUUAUGUGUGAGAGAGAGAAAGAGAAUAUAUCUCUUGGUCAUUACAUAUGUAAAACUUGUAGAACGUGAUCAAAAUGUUUAAAAACUGGCCAGGCACAGUGGCUCAAGCCUGUAUCCCAGCACUUUGGGAUCCCAAGGCAGGUGGAUCACAAGGUCAGGAAUCAAGACCAUCCUGGUCAACACAGUGAAACCCCAUCUCUACUAAAAAUACAAAAAAUUAGCCUGGCGCGGUGGCACGCACCUGUAGUCCCAGCUACUUGGGAGGCUGGGGCAGGAGAAUCGCUUGAACCUGGGAGGCGGAGGCUGCAGUGAGCUGAGAUAGCGCCACUGCACUCCUGCCUGGGCAACAGAGCAAGACUCCAACUCAAAAAAAAAAAAAAAAGUUUAAAAACUGGUCCUGUGGCAGUGGGUCUCAAACAUCAGCAUGCAUCAGAAUCACUUGGAGGACUGAUUAAAACACAGGCUGCUGCUGAUGCUGCUAAUCCUAGAGCCACCUUGAAGUUUUUCUGUGGUUUUUUUUUUUUUUUUUUUUUUUUUUUUGAGACAGGGUCUUGCUGUCUCCCAGGCUGGAGUGCAGUGGUGCAAUGAUACCUCACUGCAGCCUUGAACUCCUGGGCUCAAGCAAUGCCCCCAUCUCAGCCUCCCAAGCAACUAGGACUGUAGCUAGCUCCUAACUCAUUCCCUCCAUUCCUGCCCUCCCCUAACUUUAUAUUGCAGCCAGAAGGAUAUUUUUUCUGAAGAGCAUCUCAUGCUGAGUGGCAGCAGAAUGCAGAGAUUAAGAGAGGGGGCCAGGCACAGUGGCUCACACCUCUAAUCCCAGCACUUUGGGAGGCCGAGGUGGGUGGAUCACCCGAGGUCAGGAGUUCAAGACCAGCCUAGCCAACAUGGAGAAACCCCGUCUCUAUGGGCGUGGUGGUGCAUACCUGUAAUCCCAGCUACUAGGGAGGCUGAGGCAGGAGAAUCACUUGAACCCAGGAGGCAGAGGUUGCCGUGAGCCGAGAUCUCGUCAUUGCACUCCAGCCUGGGCAACAAGAGCGAAACUCCGUCUCAAAAAAAAAAAAAGAGUGGCGCCAGGUGCAGUGGCUCACGCCUGUAAUCCCAGCACUUUGGGAGGCCGAGGCAGGCAAAUCAUCUGAGGUCGGGAGUUCGAGACCAGCCUGACCAACAUAGAGAAACCCCGUCUCUACUAAAAAUACAAAAAAAUUAGCCGAGCGUGGUGGCAUGUGUCGUAUGCCUGUAAUCCCAGCUACUGGGGAGGCUGAGGCAGGAGAAUUACUUGAACCUGGGAGGCAGGUUUUUUGUUUUUUGUUUUGGUUUUGUUUGAGAUUUUGGUUGUUGUUUUUUGGGGUUUUUUUGAGACAGGGUCUCACUGUGUUGUCCAGGCUGGAGUGCAGGGGUGCGAUCAUGUGUCACUGCAGCCACAACCUCCUGGGCUCAGGUGAUCCUCCCACCUCAGCCUUCCUGAGUAACUGUUACUACAGGUGUGCACCACCAUGACUGGCUAAUUUUUGUAUUUUUUGUAGAGACAAGAGUUUCACCAUGUUGCACAGGCUGUUCACAAACUCCUAGGCUCAAGCUAUCCACCUGCCUCAGCCUCCCAAAGUGCUGGGAUUAUAGGCAUGAGCCACCUUGCCCAGCCAACUGAGCCACUUUGUGCCAGGACUAGGUCAGGUACUUGGGACAUAUACAGGCAAGGACACUGCCCACAGGGAACUGACAGUGUCUAGCAGCUACACAGAUGACACGGCCUUUUCGGCAGACACCCCUGUCCCCUGUGCUUGGCAAACAGCAGAGACUCAAAAAUGUAUAUGGUUUGACUCCCACUGGAACAUAAGCCCCUUAGGGCAGGGACCAGGGUCACUGUAUUCCCAGCACCUAUAAUCAAGAGGUACAUGACGCUGCAGCUGAGAGCAGGGACUCUGUGCUAAGUUACCUACCUGGUUUGAACCUAGGCUCUGCCACUCAAAGGCUGUGUGACCGUGGGAAAUAAUAGUACCCACCCCAAAGGUUUGUUAUUAGUAUUUAAUAAUAUUUAUUGGUAAGGUACUUAGAAUAGCCCCCCUGCCUACAGGAAGCAGUACAUAAUUAUAAUGUCUAAAUAUACAGUAGUUCCAGGCCAGGCAUGGUGGCUCAUGUCUGUAUUCCUAGCAGAAUGAGAGGCCGAGGAAGGAGAAUCAUUUGAGUCCAGGAGUUUGAGACCAGCCUGGAUAACAUAGUGAGAUCUCGUCUCUACAAAAAAUAAACAAAAGUAAGCCAGACAUGGUGGCACAUGCCUGCAAUCCCAGCUACUCAAAAGGCUGUGAUUAGAGAAUCACUUGAGCCCAGGAGGUAGAGGCUGCAAUGAGCUGAGAUCACACCACUGUACUCCAGCCUGGGCAACAGAGUGAGACUCCGUCUCUUAAAUAAAUAAAUAAAUAGGGGCCAGGCGUGGUAGCUUACACCUGUAAUCCCAGCACAUUGGGAGGCUGAGGCGGGAGGAUCACUUGAGGACAGGAGUUCAAGACCAACCUGACCAACAUGGUGAAACCCCAUCUCUACUAAAACACAACAAUCAGCUGGGCAUGGUGGCGGGUGCCUGUAAUCCCAGCUAUUUUGGGGGCUGAGGCAGGAGAAUCACUUGAACCCAGGAGGCAGAGGUUGCAGUGAGCCAAGAUCACACUACUACACUCCAGCCUGGGCAACAGAGCGGGACUCCAUCUCAAAUAAAUAAAUAAAUAGCAGUUCCAUAUCCUCUGAAUAAUGGACUAGAAGUUGGUUAAUGGAUGGGUUUUCAGGGAGAAUUUUAGCAGCCGAGCUGAGAGGUAGGUACUCUAGCCAGGGUAUAUAACAUGAGCUAAGGGAACAGGACAGCAAAUAUAAGGUGUGAUCAGGGGAAAGGCAUCAUAUAUUGACUGUCCAGGAACAAUGGAUAUCUGAGAAUGUAGGAAAGCUAAGUUAGGACCAGGAAAAGGAGAGUAUUAAAUGCCAAAGAAGAUGCCACCAAAGGUUCUGGAACAGAAAGCAGCAGAGCUAUGCCUUGUAAAGAUAAAGCCUGCAGUGUAUUGACUGGGUUGGAAUCUGGAAUCAUUGCGUGCCUCCAGUCAAGACGUGGCAACUGACCAACUACCUUUUAUCACUGACCAGACUCUUCCCUACGUGCAGAUAACUGAGGACGCAAGCCUUAGUUACUGGGUGUGGUGGUGCUAUUAACGGAAAAAGGGAAGUCAGCCAGCAAAGGCUGACUGGGGCAAUUUCAGCCUUGUUGCUCUGCUGUGAAACUGCUUUCCAGAAAAACUUUUUUUUUUUUUUGAGACGGAGUCUCACUCUGUCACCCAGGCUGGAGUGCAGUGGCACAAUUUCGGCUCACUGCAACCUCCGCCUCCCAGGUUCAAGCGAUUCUCCUGUCUCAGCCUCCCCAGAAGCUGGGAUUACAGGCGCCCACCACCACACUCAGCUAAUUUUUGUAUUUUUAGUAAAGUCAGGGUUCCACUAUGUUGGCCAGGCUGAUCUCCAACUCCUGACCUCAGGUGAUCCGCCUGCCUCGGCCUCCCAAAGUGCUGAGAUUACAGGCAUGAGCCACAGUGCCCAGCCCAGGAAAACUUCUUAAAGAUGUAAUAAUAACGCACCUUAUUAUUUUCCAAGUACUUCCAUAGAUAGUGGCCCACUUCUGAGUAUGAAUUAAAUUUCCCUUUGUGGCCUUUGUUUUUUUAAUAGAUCUUCAUUUCUGGGGGGACUUACAAACAGGUGACUUCUCCAUUCACCAGAGAUGGGACAUUAUACACUGACCUACUUCCAUAUUCACUUUCCCUGCUUGAUUGGAGGUGAGGGAGAAAAAUUAGUGUAUAAGGCCGGGCGCGGAGGCUCACGCCUGUAAUCCCAGGACUUUAGAAGGCUGAGGCAGGUGGAUCACCUGAGGUCAGGAGUUCGAGACCAGCCUGGCCAACAUGGUGAAACCCCUUGUCUACUAAAAAUACAAAAAUUAGCCAGGUGUGGUGGCACACGCCUGUAAUCCCAGUUACUCAGGAGGCUGAGGCAGGAGAAUUGCUUGAACCCCGAGGCAGAGGUUGCAGUGAGCUGAGUCCAUGCCAUUGCACUCUAGCCUGGGCAACAAGAGUGAAACUCUGUCUCAAAAAAAAAAAAAAAAGAAAAGAAAAGAAAAAUAAGUGUAUAGAACUUUAUUGUUUCAUUGACCGGGCACGAUGGCUCACGCCUGUAACUCUAGCACUUUGGGAGGCCAAGGUGGGCAGAUUGGCUGAGCUCAGCAGUUUGAAACCAGCCUGGGCAACAUGGUGAAACCUAUCUCUAAUAAAAUACAAAAAAUUAGCCCGGUAUGGUAGCACAUGCCUAUAGUUUCAGCUACCUGGGAGGCUGAGGCAUGAGAAUCACUUGAACCCAGAAGGUUGCAGUGAGCCAAGAUUGUGCCACUGCACUCCAGCCUGGGCAACAGAGCAAAACUCUGUCUCCAAAAAAAGAGAACUGGCCAGGGAUGGUGGCUCACGCCUCUAAUCCCAGCACUUUGGGAGGCUAAGGUGGGCAGAUCACGAGGUCAGGAGUUCAAGACCAGCCUGGCCAACAUGGUGAAACCCCGUCUCUACUAAAAAUACAAAAAUUAGCUGGGCAUGGUGGCAGGCACCUGUAAUCCCAGCUACUCAGGAGGCUGAGACAGCAGAAUCGUUUGAAUCUGGGAGGUAGAAGUUGCAGUGAGCCAAGAUCACGCCAUUGCACUCCAGCCUGGGUGGAAGGGCAUGACUUCGUCUCAAAAAAAAAAAAACUUUUUCCUUAAAAUACACCUCUUGGAGCCAGUCCCAGAUACUUGGGAGGAUCAGGAAGGAGGACCUCUUGAGGCCAUAAAUUUGAGGAUGUAGUGUGCCUGUGAAUAGCCACUACACUCUAGCCUGGGCAACACAGAAAGACCUCAUAAAUAAAUAAAUAGGCCAGAUGAGGUGGCUCACACCUGUAAUCUCAGCACUUUGGGAGGCCAAGGCUGGCAGAUCACGAAGUUAGGAGAUCAAGACCAUCCUGGCUAACACAGUGAAACCCCG
rnacentral:lncRNA from 1 species